AGCGAACGCUGGCGGCGCGCCUAAUACAUGCAAGUCGAGCGAGAAGACGUAGCAAUACGUUUGUAAAGCGGCGAACGGGUGAGGAAUACAUGGGUAACCUACCCUCGAGUGGGGAAUAACUAGCCGAAAGGUUAGCUAAUACCGCGUACGCUCCUUGGACUUCGGUUCAGGGAGGGAAAGCGAUACCGUGGGUAGUCGCGCUCUUGGAUGGGCUCAUGUCCUAUCAGCUUGUUGGUGAGGUAACGGCUCACCAAGGCUUCGACGGGUAGGCUGGUCUGAGAGGACGAUCAGCCACACUGGCACUGCGACACGGGCCAGACUCCUACGGGAGGCAGCAGUAAGGAAUAUUGCGCAAUGGGCGAAAGCCUGACGCAGCGACGCCGCGUGGGGGA
rnacentral:rRNA from 1 species